rnacentral:misc_RNA from 1 species
GCUCAAAAGUCAAAAAGCGCCAAGAAACAUUUUCAAGUUAAAAUAAGCAUUGUUGAGGUCCUCCACAAAUAGCUUCAUUAGUUCCCUCAGAAUCUAACGAGAGCUACUUGUGCAUCUUAGCAUUACAAACAAUUCAUUCAUUAUUGUACACUAUAUAUUCAGAAAUAGAAAGCAAAGCUUCGUCCCUGUCAUGCUUGGACAAUGAAGCAAACACAGUGGUUAGCUCAAAAUCACAAUGCAAGGCCGAGCUGUCUAUCUAUGUGUACGGCCCAACUUUAUUUUUUCCAUGGAAAACCAAACUCAAAACGGUAAUAAUGUGCCUUUUCCCUUCUUUUAUAAAAUAAAACCGACUUGAUAUAUACACAGAAUGAAGCUUGUAGAUAUUUGAAAAAAGGCAAAAAUGAGAUGACGAGAAAAGUGUUGGGGGUGUAAUUGAACAAGCUCAAUUAGUGCACAGCUCCAAGCCUUCCGAUAUUUGGUGUGCACAAGACAGGUUUGAUUACUUGGAGACAUUAAACCAUGUCAUAAUAUUACUCAUUUCACAUCUGGAGAAGAUUGUUCACAGUAACAGUGACAGAAUUUGUUCGCUGCAAGUCCUGAAGAAUCAACUCAUCUGGAAUGUGAGGCAAAACCUCCCGUACUGUCUCAGCCAUGGCAAGCAUGUUUACCAUGUUGUCACUUGCAGAGCGUGAGGCAGUCCUCAUGUGUAAACCACCAGAACCUCCAGCUGAUCUUCCAAAACUAGGAGUGACAGUAGAUCCAGAUGCAACAGCUUGAGAGUGAUUCAUGGGCCACAGGCUCCAAGCAGCAUCUUCAAGGGCAGUCUGAGCGUAGGUUUCUCCUACAGAUGCAAGAUGUCUCAUCAUCAUUCCUACUGAUCUCAUGGCAGUAGAUGGACCAGCUCCGUCUACACUCUGGCCAGGCCAGGUGUGCAGCCAACUUGAAUCCGAACCUGCGCUUCUCCAGGGGCGGCCUUCUAUAGAG